UGGUUCUGGGUUUGGUUUUUUCUGCGUUUGUUCAUCGACCUCUGUUCUGGGUUAUUUUAAUGUGAUAGAAAUUAAACUCUUUUAAUCAAAGGCAGAUGACGCUGACGGCAUGAAUUUGAGACGGCGGCGGUCGGUGGAGGUUGCACAAACAAUUUCUGCCGUGAAUUUGUUUAUUAUUAAAUAAAUUAAAUUAAAAAUUGAUUCUUUCAUCAUAGUUUAAGAUUUUUCCAAUGGAGGA
rnacentral:lncRNA from 1 species